CAGAGCGAGAAUAAAGGUAUAAAACCUUUUUUUUUUGGGGGGGGGGGGGGAAGACUCAGGGGGCCUAUCUCUCUGAAGCACAGCAUAAGUGAAAAUUCAGGCAUUUCCAUCUAAGUCCGCCCCUGUGAGAUUCAAAUGCCUCCCAGCAUCUAGAACUCAAGCCUGAGAGCCUGGAUGCAGGACUCAGAACAGAUCCGCAGGGGCAAUGGCUCGGCCAGUGUGAACACUGAUUCCCACAGCAUGCCAUCCAUGAGGCUCUAGGUGCCCCAAGACCCAUCCUCUAAAGGUAGAAGCCACAGCUGAGAGGCCGUGUACAAGGCUCUCCAUCCAGUAGGCCAGGGACUAUCUGCACCUAGUUGGCUCAUGCAGAAGCACUGGGUUAGGGGAACAGCACUAAGUCAUGCAAUGCCACGCACUGUGAGAGAUACAAGGUGUUCUGCCAGGGGUCUGGCCUUCACUCAAGGAAGCUAAGAUCCCGCCACCACCACCCUGGUGACAGGUGAGUGCUAUGUGGUAGCUACACCUGAAGUGCUCAACCUGAGGGAAAGGACAUAUGGAGAGACCCUUCACGGUACCCGUCAGAGCUCACCAGACCAGACCAAAAAUAAAAAAAUAAAAGCAAAAACAAAACAAAACAAAAUAACAAAAAAAAAAAAAAAAA
rnacentral:lncRNA from 1 species